UAAGAACUUCACCUGCAGCUGAUAUAAUUGCUGAUGUCGUAAAUACUACUACUGCACUAGAUAUAAUUGAAGAGGCGUCGAUGGACACCACUCGCUUUGCUGGCGAUCAUAUGAUCAACCUGAGGAAGAACCUGCAAAUAAAAAGAAUAUAUGGGAUUGAUUGUGACAGAGGCAUCGAUGGACACCACUUGCUUUGCUGGCGAUAAUAUGAUCAACAUGAGGAAGAACCUGCAAAUAAAGAGAAUAUAUGGGAUUGAUUGUGAUAGUCGGUUGGAUUGGCCUGAACGUUCACUUGAUGCAACGCCUCAAGUUCUGUCUUCAACUUUUAACUUGAGGCGAGUAUCGAGCAGCUGUG
rnacentral:lncRNA from 1 species